GAUGAACGCUGGCGGCGUGCCUAAUACAUGCAAGUCGAGCGAACAGACGAGGAGCUUGCUCCUCUGACGUUAGCGGCGGACGGGUGAGUAACACGUGGAUAACCUACCUAUAUGACUGGGAUAACUUCGGGAAACCGGAGCUAAUACCGGAUAAUAUAUUGAACCGCAUGGUUCAAUAGUGAAAGACGGUUUUGCUGUCACUUAUAGAUGGAUCCGCGCCGCAUUAGCUAGUUGGUAAGGUAACGGCUUACCAAGGCAACGAUGCGUAGCCGACCUGAGAGGGUGAUCGGCCACACUGGAACUGAGACACGGUCCAGACUCCUACGGGAGGCAGCAGUAGGGAAUCUUCCGCAAUGGGCGAAAGCCUGACGGAGCAACGCCGCGUGAGUGAUGAAGGUCUUCGGAUCGUAAAACUCUGUUAUUGGGGAAGAACAAAUGUGUAAGUAACUAUGCACGUCUUGACGGUACCUAAUCAGAAAGCCACGGCUAACUACGUG
rnacentral:rRNA from 1 species